rnacentral:rRNA from 1 species
AAUGGGCGCAAGCCUGAUCCAGCCAUGCCGCGUGAGUGAUGAAGGCCUUAGGGUUGUAAAGCUCUUUCGCCGGUGAAGAUAAUGACGGUAGCAGGUAAAGAAACCCCGGCUAAUUUCGUGCCAGCAGCCGCGGUAAUACGGAAGGGGCAAGCAUUGUUCGGAAUUACUGGGCGUAAAGCGCGCGUAGGCGGCUUAGCCAGUCAGAGGUGAAAUCCCAGGGCUCAACCCCGGAACUGCCUUUGAUACUGGUAAUCUAGAGGAUGAGAGAGGUAAGUGGAAUUCCGAGUGUAGAGGUGAAAUUCGUAGAUAUUCGGAGGAACACCAGUGGCGAAGGCGGCUUUCUGGCUCAAAUCUGACGCUGAGGUGCGAAAGCGUGGGGAGCAAACAGGAUU